UCGAGCGGGGAAGAGUAGCUUGCUACUUUACCUAGCGGCGGACGGGUGAGUAAUGCUUAGGAAUCUGCCUAUUAGUGGGGGACAACAUUCCGAAAGGGAUGCUAAUACCGCAUACGUCCUACGGGAGAAAGCAGGGGACCUUCGGGCCUUGCGCUAAUAGAUGAGCCUAAGUCGGAUUAGCUAGUUGGUGGGGUAAAGGCCUACCAAGGCGACGAUCUGUAGCGGGUCUGAGAGGAUGAUCCGCCACACUGGGACUGAGACACGGCCCAGACUCCUACGGGAGGCAGCAGUGGGGAAUAUUGGACAAUGGGGGGAACCCUGAUCCAGCCAUGCCGCGUGUGUGAAGAAGGCCUUAUGGUUGUAAAGCACUUUAAGCGAGGAGGAGGCUACCUAGAUUAAUACUCUAGGAUAGUGGACGUUACUCGCAGAAUAAGCACCGGCUAACUCUGUGCCAGCAGCCGCGGUAAUACAGAGGGUGCGAGCGUUAAUCGGAUUUACUGGGCGUAAAGCGUGCGUAGGUGGCUAAUUAAGUCAAAUGUGAAAUCCCCGAGCUUAACUUGGGAAUUGCAUUCGAUACUGGUUAGCUAGAGUAUGGGAGAGGAUGGUAGAAUUCCAGGUGUAGCGGUGAAAUGCGUAGAGAUCUGGAGGAAUACCGAUGGCGAAGGCAGCCAUCUGGCCUAAUACUGACACUGAGGUACGAAAGCAUGGGGAGCAAACAGGAUUAGAUACCCUGGUAGUCCAUGCCGUAAACGAUGUCUACUAGCCGUUGGGGUCUUUGAGACUUUAGUGGCGCAGCUAACGCGAUAAGUAGACCGCCUGGGGAGUACGGUCGCAAGACUAAAACUCAAAUGAAUUGACGGGGGCCCGCACAAGCGGUGGAGCAUGUGGUUUAAUUCGAUGCAACGCGAAGAACCUUACCUGGCCUUGACAUAGUAGAAACUUUCCAGAGAUGGAUUGGUGCCUUCGGGAAUCUACAUACAGGUGCUGCAUGGCUGUCGUCAGCUCGUGUCGUGAGAUGUUGGGUUAAGUCCCGCAACGAGCGCAACCCUUUUCCUUAUUUGCCAGCGAGUAAUGGCCGGGAACUUUAAGGAUACUGCCAGUGACAAACUGGAGGAAGGCGGGGACGACGUCAAGUCAUCAUGGCCCUUACGGCCAGGGCUACACACGUGCUACAAUGGUCGG
rnacentral:rRNA from 1 species